rnacentral:siRNA from 1 species
AGCCGUGUGGUGGAUUCUUGUGA